CCUACGGGAGGCAGCAGUGGGGAAUAUUGCACAAUGGGGGAAACCCUGAUGCAGCGACGCCGCGUGCGUGAAGAAGUAUUUCGGUACGUAAAGCUCUAUCAGCAGGGAAGAAAAUGACGGUACCUGACUAAGAAGCCCCGGCUAACUACGUGCCAGCAGCCGCGGUAAUACGUAGGGGGCAAGCGUUAUCCGGAUUUACUGGGUGUAAAGGGAGCGUAGACGGCAGCGCAAGUCUGGAGUGAAAUCCCAUGGCUUAACCAUGGAACUGCUUUGGAAACUGUGCAGCUAGAGUGCAGGAGAGGUAAGCGGAAUUCCUAGUGUAGCGGUGAAAUGCGUAGAUAUUAGGAGGAACACCAGUGGCGAAGGCGGCUUACUGGACUGUAACUGACGUUGAGGCUCGAAAGCGUGGGGAGCAAACAGGAUUAGAUACCCUAGUAGUC
rnacentral:rRNA from 1 species